GACGAACGCUGGCGGCGUGCCUAAUACAUGCAAGUAGAACGAGUUGCGAACGGGUGAGUAACGCGUGGUAACCUGCCUCAUAGCGGGGGAUAACUAUUGGAAACGAUAGCUAAUACAGCAUACUGUGAGAUGGACCUGCGUUGUAUUAGCUAGUUGGUGAGGUAAAGGCUCACCUAGGCGACGAUCCCUAGCUGGUCUGAGAGGAGGACAAGCCACACUGGAACUGAGACACGGUCCGGACUCCGACGGGAGGCAGCAGUGGGGAAUAUUGCACAAUGGGCGCAAGCCUGAUGCAGCCAUGCCGCGUGUGUGAAGAAGGCCUGCGGGUUGUAAAGCACUUUCAGCGGGGAGGCGUUACCCGCAGAAGAAGCACCGGCUAACUCCGUGCCAGCAGCCGCGGUAAUUC
rnacentral:rRNA from 1 species